UACAGAGGUGGCAAGCGUUGUUCGGAAUUACUGGGCGUAAAGGGCGCGUAGGCGGCCAUCUAAGUCAGACGUGAAAUCCCCCGGCUUAACCUGGGAACUGCGUCUGAUACUGGAAGGCUUGAGUAUGGGAGAGGGAUGUAGAAUUCCAGGUGUAGCGGUGAAAUGCGUAGAUAUUCGCAAGAACACCAGUGGCGAAGGCGGCUCACUGGCCCGGUACUGACGCUGAGGUGCGAAAGCGUGGGGAGCAAACAGG
rnacentral:rRNA from 1 species